rnacentral:rRNA from 1 species
UACGUAGGGUGCGAGCGUUGUCCGGAAUUAUUGGGCGUAAAGGGCUCGUAGGCGGUUUGUCGCGUCGGGAGUGAAAUCCACUGGCUUAACUGGUGGCUUGCUUUCGAUACGGGCAGACUGGAGGUAUGCAGGGGAGAACGGAAUUCCUGGUGUAGCGGUGAAAUGCGCGGAUAUCAGGAGGAACACCGGUGGCGAAGGCGGUUCUCUGGGCAUGUCCUGACGCUGAGGAGCGAAAGCGUGGGGAGCGAACAGG